GACGUAGGGCGCGAGCGUGUCCGGAUUUAUUGGGCGUAAAGAGCUCGUAGGCGGUUUGUCGCGUCUGCUGUGAAAACCCGAGGCUCAACCUCGGGCCUGCAGUGGGUACGGGCAGGCUAGAGGUAGGUAGGGGAGAAUGGAAUUCCCGGUGUAGCGGUGAAAUGCGCAGAUAUCGGGAGGAACACCGGUGGCGAAGGCGGUUCUCUGGGCCUUACCUGACGCUGAGGAGCGAAAGCGUGGGGAGCGAACAGG
rnacentral:rRNA from 1 species